rnacentral:misc_RNA from 1 species
UUAACUAUUGUAUAGUACUCAGACGACGUAUAUUGUAGAGUUGGAUUAUCCUUUGGCGGUCACGCACCAGUCAGGGACUGAGUGGCAUCACACAUGGCGAAGCGGACCGCCAAAGCAACAAAGGUAAGGUAUACAAGGGUGGAGGUCUACCCCGAGGGGCAUGAACUCUGUAAUGAUCCUUCCGCAGGUUCACCUACGGAAA